GACGAACGCUGGCGGCGUGCUUAACACAUGCAAGUCGAACGGAAAGGCUCUGCUUUUGUGGGGUGCUCGAGUGGCGAACGGGUGAGUAACACGUGAGUAACCUGCCCUUGACUUUGGGAUAACUUCAGGAAACUGGGGCUAAUACCGGAUAGGAGCUACUGCUGCAUGGUGGGGGUUGGAAAGUUUCGGCGGUCGGGGAUGGAGUCGCGGCUUAUCAGCUUGUUGGUGGGGUAGUGGCUUACCAAGGCUUUGACGGGUAGCCGGCCUGAGAGGGUGAGCGGCUACAGUGGGACUGAGAUACGGCCCAGACCCCGACGGGAGGGAGCAGUAGGGAAUAGUGCACAAUCGGCGGAAGCCUGAUGCAGCAGCGCCGCGUCCGGGAUAACGGCCUUCGGGUUGUGAUCCACAUUCGCUUUUGACGAAGCGUGAGUGACGGUAAUGGGUGAAGAAGCACCGGCUAACUACGUG
rnacentral:rRNA from 1 species